UACGUAGGGUGCGAGCGUUAAUCGGAAUUACUGGGCGUAAAGCGUGCGCAGGCGGUUCGUUGUGUCGGCGGUGAAAGCCCCGGGCUUAACCUGGGAAUGGCCGUUGAAACUGGCGAACUGGAGUGUGGCAGAGGGGGGUGGAAUUCCGCGUGUAGCAGUGAAAUGCGUAGAGAUGCGGAGGAACACCGAUGGCGAAGGCAGGUCUCUGGGCAUUAACUGACGCUGAGGAGCGAAAGCAUGGGGAGCGAACAGG
rnacentral:rRNA from 1 species